UACGUAGGGUGCAAGCGUUGUCCGGAAUUAUUGGGCGUAAAGAGCUCGUAGGCGGUUUGUCGCGUCUGCCGUGAAAGUCCGGGGCUCAACUUCGGAUCUGCGGUGGGUACGGGCAGACUAGAGUGAUGUAGGGGAGACUGGAAUUCCUGGUGUAGCGGUGAAAUGCGCAGAUAUCAGGAGGAACACCGAUGGCGAAGGCAGGUCUCUGGGCAUUAACUGACGCUGAGGAGCGAAAGCAUGGGGAGCGAACAGG
rnacentral:rRNA from 1 species